rnacentral:lncRNA from 1 species
CCUCCUGCCCCUUCCCCACGUGUAAAUGCGUCACAGGCUCUUAGGGGACAGGCUGACCCCCAUGGCUCGAUCUUCCCAAACACUGUCGGGGGCAGGUCUGCCAGGAGUCCUUGCUGAGGCCCUGGGGAAGUUUCCUUUGCUUGGAACAAUUUGGGUAGAAGGUUUCAAAUGAACUGGAGUGAAAAAGCAGAAGAUGAAAACCUGGGCGUGCCCUUCACAAAUGGGAAGAGACACGCGGGCGCACGUCUGUGAGUGUGGGGGCUGGGCUCCGAGUGAGACUUGUUGCGGGAACACAGCACUCCUUGUUCGAGGGUUGGAUCUGACGGAUCCGGGGCCUAAACUGGGAGGCCCUUCACACGAGGCUGUGGUUUCCUUCCUGCCUCGCCAUGAAAAGACUAUUUUUGCCGAGCUGUGUAAGUCUGUGUGUACGCCGGGCACGCAUGGCUGUCGGAUGCCAAGCCCGAAUAGCUGUACUCACACAGCUCAGCGAGACAGCCGCCCAAACAAAGCCGCCCCCCGGGCCCUGGCCGCCGACAGAGGGAAGAGGGGACCACGCUGAGCCCCAGGAAAAUCAAUUUCUGUCUGAUCCCCCCAAACCGAACUCAUGGUCACAGAAGACACCGUGGUUGAUGAAGGCUGGAGCAGGGGUGGAAGGAAGGAGAGAAGGUGAUCUGAGGGCACAAGAGUCCAGAAAACGGAAAGGACAAAUGGCCUCGAAUCCCUCUCAGAAGCGGAUGGGCAACAUCUGGAGAAUACAGCCAGCUAGCCAGUGAGACCCUCAUCCACACCGUCCCCCCACCAGCAGACCUACAUCCCCUCUGGACCCUGAGGCCUCAGGCGGCAGCAGGGGGUCUACGGCCCGGCUCAGAGAAAUGUUUUUGAUGCGUAAAGUAAAAACGUAGGAUCACAGCAACUGCACCACUGUUGUGGAAAUGUUUCUUUAAAAGCACAGUCAUGAGAUAG